UGUACAACCUGGGUGCAAGUGAAAUUGAGAGACUAGGCGUGUCUGUGGUACUCUGGAAGCCUGCAUCUGAGGAGAAAUGUCCCCUCAGCACAGACCUGUUUUUCUGCCAGCUCUCAGCUCGAGGUGCAAAUUUUCCGUGCCACUGUUGCCGACCGCACAGAAAGAGCGUGGCUAUCAUGGUCCUGCAAGAUCUCUUAUCUCUGCACGAGCAUCGGGGCUUUGUGAUGAGCCACAGAGAUUUUCUGCAGCCGCCUGGAAGUGUUCGUUUUUCCCGCUCGGCCUCUAGAGAUAAGAUUCGUGUGACAGCGGAGGAAGUGCUCCCUUGCAGUGAGGGCGAGACCACUUCGAAAAUGUGGACUUUGUCCAAGGCACUGAUCUGCCAUUGGGGCUUCUUGUGUUGUUCAUUCCUGUCUGGUGUGUGCGUGUGCCUGCUUACGGUGGUAUUUAUACAACAGUGAAAUUGGGCUGUUGCAGUAAAUGUGUGAGUUGUGUAAGCACAGAUAACUGCUAAGCAUUAAAUAAGUGACCUGAUUACAUGGAUAGAUACAAAGACUUUAUGUUGAGUGGGAACAGCAUGUGAAGAGAAUGAUUAUCAUUGUAAUGAUUGCUUCACUUAGCAGCAGCAGGUCUUGAAACAUUGGCCAUCAUGGACCAGAUUGCAGGUUAUUGGGCACACCUUUGGGUGAGUUUGCAUUAUUUUUUAUUGAAGGAAAAAUUUUGCAUUGUGAAUUUAAAACAAGAUGUCAUGCUGAGGCCUUGGCAAGAAAAGGCAAUCUGCCAGGGUUAUGUUUUGCAUGCUUUUCACAUCAUUCACACUCUACAGUCAAUGCGAAAUGUGGCUUCUUAAGGGUUUUAGAGGACUCAAGCUUUAUUGAAAACAGCCCAAGUCCCAAUUUAGGAUCAUUGUCAAUACAGUACCACUUCUUGUGUUCAGUUUGACCCAUGUCAAACUUAAGAAUGUGGCUUCAUUCAAGUAGUUGGAAAUGCCCUUCCAAAUGUUUCACUUGCUGUUUCUAUAACAAUGCUUGUCACUGCAAGGUCUCCAGUUCAGUAGACCUUUCAAACUAUUAAACAGCCCUGGGGGUUCUCAAAUCAUAAGAUUGAAGAACACUUUCUGCUAUUUACCAAACCACAGAAAUUAUUAACCUUCAAAUAGCUUGUACAGGAUGGUGACACACGCUGUUUGACAGUUUGUUUUUAUUUCUGCAUCUUGUAUUUGUGUAUUGUCAAUAAAGAUUUGCCUGCUGUAUGAUUUUAGGGUGUGCCUUCACAAGCAUCUUUCUUUUUAUUUUUUCAGAAUAAUUCUGGUCAUCGCAUUGAAGAUCCAAGAAGUGCACAGCAGCAUACAUGUCAACUGAUAUCAACACAUGUAAUGUGCUGUGGGUGAUGUAUGAAUUCAGAAAUAUUUUCUUAUUCGUCAAAGAGAA
rnacentral:lncRNA from 1 species